rnacentral:rRNA from 1 species
GACGAACGCUGGCGGCGUGCCUCAUAAAUGCAAGUAGAACGCAGUUGCGAACGGGUGAGUAACGCGUAGGUAACUGCCUGGUAGCGGGGGAUAACUAGUGGAAACGAUGGCUAAUACCGCAUACUACCAGAGGGAACUGCGUUGCAUUAGCUAGUUGGUGGGGUAACGGCUCACCAAGGCAACGACACAUAGCCGACCUGAGAGGGGGAACGGCCACGCUGGUACUGGGAGACGGCCCAGACUCCUAAGGUAGGCAUCAGUAGGGAAUCUGCGUCAAUGGACGGAAGUCUGACCGAGCAACGGCGCGUGAGUGAAAAAGGUUUUCGGAUCGUAAAGCUCUGUUGUAAGAGAAGCGGUAUCUUACCAGAAAGGGGCGGCUACCUACGUGCCAGCAGCCGCGGUAAUUC